rnacentral:tRNA from 4 species
GCACUAGUGGUUUAGUGGUAAAAUCCAUCGUUGCCAUCGAUGGGCCCCGCGUUCGAUUCGCGGCUAGUGCA